rnacentral:rRNA from 1 species
GAUGAACGCUGACAGAAUGCUUAACACAUGCAAGUCUUUGGCGAAGCUGUGCUUGCACAGCCUAGCCAAGGCGGACGGGUGAGUAACGCGUAAGGAACUUGCCCUGCAGUCAGGGAUAACAGACGGAAACGACUGAUAAGACCUGGUAAAGUCAGGCGGACUCAUGUCCAGCCUGAUGUAAAGAGAUGCUGCAGGAGAGCCUUGCGUCCUAUUAGCUUGUUGGUGGGGUAACGGCCCACCAAGGCGAUGAGAGGUAGCCGGGCUGAGAGGGUGGACGGCCACAAGGGGACUGAGAUACGGCCCUUACUCCGACGGGAGGCAGCAGUGGGGAAUAUUGGACAAGGGGGGCAACCCUGAUCCAGCAAUUCGGUGUGCACGAUGAAGGUUUUCGGAUUGGAAAGUGCUUUCAGCAGGGAAGAAAAAAAUGACGGUACCUGCAGAAGAAGCGACGGCUAAAUACGUG